AGAUUGAACGCUGGCGGCAUGCUUUACACAUGCAAGUCGAACGGUAACAGGCCGCAAGGUGCUGACGAGUGGCGAACGGGUGAGUAAUGCAUCGGAACGUGCCCAGUCGUGGGGGAUAACGCAGCGAAAGCUGUGCUAAUACCGCAUACGAUCUAUGGAUGAAAGCGGGGGACCGAAAGGCCUCGCGCGAUUGGAGCGGCCGAUGUCAGAUUAGCUAGUUGGUGGGGUAAAGGCCCACCAAGGCGACGAUCUGUAGCUGGUCUGAGAGGACGACCAGCCACACUGGAACUGAGACACGGUCCAGACCU
rnacentral:rRNA from 1 species